GGAAAGAAGAACUGUUGCAUUUGCCCUGUGCCCAAUUUGCACAGGGUAAAUGCAAUAGUUCUUCUUUCCC
ensembl:miRNA